rnacentral:lncRNA from 1 species
UGUGGCUAAAAGGAGACCAAAAGACUGACACCAGGUGGCAAAGGGAAUCUAAGAGAUGCAGCAGGCAGUGCCCCAGCCCUCUCAGUAAUUAGCAGUGCACAGAAGGGAGCAGAGGAAAAAAGCAGGAAUGUGGUCCAAAUAACAGCUUGCUGUCAUCAAAAAUGGAAGGUCCCCCUUGUCAUCUUUCUACAUUUUUUUCAUUUCUAUUAAGUGUUGGAUCAAUCCAAUGUCAGUUAGAGGCCAAGAAAGUGUUUGUGUUUCCGCAAUUCUGAUCAUUUCCACCUAUUACACACAGUCGGUGUGAAAGUCAAAUAAGAUACUAAAGGUAAAAGUUCCCCUUUCUUUAAAUUUGUAAAUACUGUCUUUCCAAAGAGAAUAUAAAUUCCUUUACAUAUAAUUUAGCUUUGUUUCUUGUAUCACACAUAGCACUAUUUCUUGCAAAUAAUAAGGAAUCUAAAAAUAUACUUCAUAUGUGGUUGUUGUGAG